rnacentral:rRNA from 1 species
AUGGCGACCGGCGCACGGGUGAGUAACACGUAUCCAACCUGCCGAUGACUCGGGGAUAGCCUUUCGAAAGAAAGAUUAAUACCCGAUGGCAUAGUUCUUCCGCAUGGUAGAACUAUUAAAGAAUUUCGGUCAUCGAUGGGGAUGCGUCUGAUUAGCUUGCCGGCGGGGUAACGGCCCACCGGGGCGACGAUCAGUAGGGGUUCUGAGAGGAAGGUCCCCCACAUUGGAACUGAGACACGGUCCAAACUCCUACGGAAGGCAGCAG